rnacentral:tRNA from 1 species
AGCUGCGUGGCGCAGUGGAAGCGCGGUAAGUCACUAAAACUCACACAUUUAAUUCUGUGACCCAUUGUACUGACAAUCAAAUAAUAGCCGGGCUCAUAACCCGGAGGUCCUCCGAUCGAAACGGAGCGCAGCUA